rnacentral:lncRNA from 1 species
CCAAAUCACUCUUAUAUUCAUGAAAACAUAAUAGGUUCAGAUUUGAAAUCAUGGCACUCACGCCCUAGUGACAGGCAUUAAGCAUAGCAAAGUCAUAGUAACAUCAAUCUCAGAACAUUGGUGGAUACUAGGGAUCAAGCCCUAUCAAACUUAACUCGAUUACAUGGUCAAUCUCAUCCAAUCCCACCACCAUCCAGCAAUCCUACAAAGGAAUUACUCACUCCCGGCGGUGAGCAUCAUAGCGGUGUUGAUGGAGAAGGGUUGGUGAUGAUGAUGGCGACGAAUCCCCCUCUCGUGAGCCCCAAAUGGACUCCAGAUCAACCCUCCGGAGGAAGAACGAGAGGUGGCGAUGGCUCGAUCUCAUAAAACGCGAUGAAAACUUCUCUCUAUUUUUUCCUCAUAGAUGAGAUUUUAGAGGAUUGGAAUUAG